rnacentral:rRNA from 1 species
CAGUGGCGGACGGGUGAGUAACGCGUAGGUAUCUAUCUUUGGGUGGGGGACAACCGUGGGAAACUACGGCUAAUACCGCAUGACGCCUGAGGGCCAAAGGUCGCAAGACUGCCUGGGGAGGAGCCUGCGUACGAUUAGCUAGUUGGUGGGGUAAAGGCCUACCAAGGCGACGAUCGUUAGCUGGUCUGAGAGGAUGAUCAGCCACACUGGGACUGAGACACGGCCCAG